UAGAAGGCCAAGAACUAUUUAAAUAGUGUGUACAUUAUCAAGAGUGAGGACUUUAAAAAUCACUGAAAAGUAAGUGCAGAGUUAGAGAAAUGACAAGGUUUAAUCUCUUCUCAUGAAAUAGGUGAAUGACUCAAAUUGCGUGGGAGAUAGGAUGUACAACGUCACAUAAAAGGCUGCUGCUGCUGCUAUGUCGCUUCCGUCAUGUCUGGCUCUGUGCGACCCCACAGACGGCAGCCCACCAGGCUCCCCCGUCCCUGGGAUUCUCCAGGCAAGAACACUGGAGUGGGUUGCCAUUUCCUUCUCCAGUGCAUGAAAGUGAAAAGCGAAAGUCAAGUCGCUCAGUCGUGCCCGACUCUUUGCGACCCCAUGGACUGCAGCCCACCAGACUCCUCCAUCCAUGGGAUUUUCCAGGCAAGAGUACUGGAGUAGGGUGCCAUCGCCUUCUCUGCAUAAAAGACACAGAGCAGAGGGUCCACCUGCUGAAGCUGGGGAGCUGGCAUGUCGCUGUUUUUAAAGUGGUCACACCUGUGGAACCAAAAGGCACAUCGUUAGCUAAUUGGCAGAAGAUGCAUUUAGGAGAAAACCAUACAGUGGAGAAGGCAGACGGAGAAAGGGUGUCCUGGAUAUACCACAGUAAGAUUGGUUUCUAGAUUUCUAAUCACUUCCGGAGUCUCACGGCAUCAAGUUGGAGAAAAUGGCAUUCAUCAAAAAUCUUAUGGAAAGCAAUAAGCAUCCUAGGUCAAUGAUUUAGCAGAAAGAGGUUUUAAAAAAAUCAAACUUUGUCACCAAAGGCACACACAAAAAAGGGAACACGGUUUUCUGUAAGGACUCGGAGCAAAUUUAAGCACGCUUAUUUUACAACCCUGGCAUUGAUGUGUAAUCCUAGGUCCCAGGGUAUAAAGGUAUGUCUAAAGAAGACUAAAGCCUCUUCAGAGUGAGUACUUUCUGAAUUCCUCAUUUCUAAGUUACCAGGUGAAUUCCUGUGGCUUAGCCUAUGAGAAGGCACCACACAUGCACGCACGCAGGUGACACGUCCUUUUUGCCCUCAGGAGAUUGAAAUAUGAUUUCCCAAGCUGGUGGACAGGUUGGCAAUUGAAAUCAAACUGCUCUUUGCCUCUCAAAGCGCUGGCAUGAGGGCCGUUCCCUCUGAUUGGUUGUCCCUGGAGCGGGGUGAGGGGCAGGGGGAAGCGCUGAGGCCGGAAGCGCCUGCGCUGGCUGCUGGAUCAAUGGUCAGUGUCAGCGGGGCUCUGUUUAAUGAACCUUCCACCGGCGUCCCCGCCUUGCUGACAACAGUGGGUAGCCCCAGUGCCAACGCCGAGGACGCGGGAUCUAUUGGAAGGCGAAAUAAUUGCUUCAUUUUCUGGUACAAAGAUAUAAACCUGAUUUUUGUGUACAUAAGAGCGCACUUUCAAUCCUUAACUGGAAGAGAGCCUGGCGCGGAGCACAGAGUGAAACGGGGUAGAAAGAGAUUGGCUCUCAGAACUACAGGAGAAUUGCCAAGGGCUUUAUAGUCAAGGGAUUCUUGGGCUCUGUGGGCCAGCACCCAGCCCAAAGCGUGCUGUCUCGGUCACAGAGGGGAAAAUGGUUGUUUCCGUUGGUGCCUUUCCACGAGAAAGUGUUUUGACAAAUCAAGAGAAGCAGGGAAAACCCCACUGAUGAGAUUUGCACCUAAUUUGUCUCGUUACUGCCUCGUUAUGAUGGGGCGUGCGCAGCAGGACGCCCGUCCCAAAUGCGGUAUCUGGCGCACGACUGAGGGUUAGGAGGGAAAUGAAUCUGACAGCCAGAACCCAGAAUAUUCUUGUCAUACCUCCUCCUUCCCUGAAUUUCCUUGAACUGCCUUUGUGUUGGCGAGUGAAAUU
ensembl:lncRNA